AGGUAUUACAGGCAGCUCUAUAAGGCGGUGCGCCAGGCUAGAAGCGCCACGUUUCUAUUGGUCGUUGCUAUCUCACUGCUAUCCGAUGGUGCAAUCCCAUUGGUCGGGAAAUACAGCGACGGGAUACAACAGUUUCGCCUAGAAAUGUAGAUUUCGUGUGAUAUCAACAUUUGAGGAGCGAAAAUAAGACGGUCUUCUCUUGCAUAUUCUAGAUGUCAUUCCCGACUGUUCCAGCACAUCCACGGAUGUCUCGACAACCUCCCUUAAAGGCUGUUCAACAGCAGGGGGGUCAACAGCCUCUGCUUCAACAGGUGGGGGUGUUUCCAUGACGGCACUGCAGGACCUCUGUAGACAUGAUGCAUGUUACUGGUCACUCUGGACAUGUUGAAAUUGAUGUUGAACCAUACUUUUUAAGUAAACGGUUUUUCUCCCAGCUGCUGUGGCACACUUGUUGCACUUGGAGCAUCGACGACAGCAGGAGGUGUCAGAACCUGCACUACAGCAGACGGCGGGGACUGUUCAAGUGCCCGGACCACAGCAGACGGUGGGGACUGGUCAAGUGCCUCGACUACAGCAGAC